AUUAAAUUCAUUCAUGCGAGAGUCGGUUUUAUAAAAAAUACACUACAUAAACAAUACAUUAAUUGUUUAUGUGUUAGCGUAUAAGGAAAACUCUAUGAUGAUUAAAACUUAUAAGUAAUGACUGUAUAGUUAACAUAAACCACAUCACCGUACAUAUAAAAGACGAGCUUUCAAGAAAUACGAUCAUAGUUUGUUUGAGACCACACAAGUUAUUACUCUUACAAAUGAAGUUAAUAUUAUUAUUAUUUUUUGCUUUAAUGUCGGUUGUAUAUUUCGCUGUGGGCGACCCCAAAUAUACUAAAUGGAGACUAGGAGGUAUAGAAAUAGGCACGCAUUUACCAGCAUCAAGGAUUAAAAAUCUUUACGAUGCAAAUAUACCUAAGGAAUACAGAAGAUAUUAUAAUGAAGCCAAAACCGAGAGCACCAAACAAGAAUGACUCCUUCGUUAAGCGUUCUGUGGAGCCCAGUAGUGGGAUUGCCCGAAAGGGUUACCGUGGCCCCGGUACACGAAGGAUCAUGGGUGGGUUUUAUUUAUUGGAAGUCUGACACUCCCUUUCGCUCAACCCAAAGCGGUAGCGGGGCUUCGUUGGCAGCCCGGCUACCUCAAAGUGAACUGUCCCAAAUAGGCCAAUAGGAACAACAAAAUAUACAAAUUUAAUAAAGGGAACUUCAAAUAAAUGCACAUUUUUCUUCUGUCAUUAUAGGUAUACUCAUUAGUUAUAUUGUAGAUAUAGAAAUAUACAUAUUUUAAGUUUAAAACUGACGUUACUGCAUAAUAAAUGCGUAAUAUGCUUUAUGAUGCACCUGGUCGAAAAAAAUCUUAAAAUGUAUACAAUACACCACAUUUCGCUUAGAUAAAAUUUUCUUCCAAACCUCCAUUUCAAAAAUACAUCCUGUAGAGUCUGAUCACUCAAUAAAUCAUUAUUAUA